UGCUCAUCCUGCAUAAUAAAGUUCAGAUGAAGUUGCCUCGCCUGCCCUGGUCUACUGGGCAUUAGAACUCUGAGGCACAUAAAUACUUCCCUUUGAACAGGUGUUGAAGCUGAGGCAAUGGGGAAAUUAAAUGAGCAGCCCCAGUUCACCCUGAGAAGGAAGCUUACCCAAAAGAUGAUUUUUGGGUAGCAUAAUUCCCAGUGCCACCCCUCUGGAGAAUUUCUGUGUUCCUAAACUGUGGAACAGAUGAAUUAUAGCUCUUAGCUUAUUUGCUGCACUGGGGCAGUAAAGUACAUUGGAAAGAGCACUGCUUCUAGAAUCAAAAAGUAUGAUUUCAGAUCUCACCCUUGGAGCUUACUUAUCUGAUCUCAGAUUCCUGAUGAAAAGACCAAAGCCACGUAGAAACCUUCCAGGGCAAACUCAGGAGAGAAGAGAAACACAAAAAGACAUGUCAAGCAAGCCCCUCAAGCAAGCCCCUUUUGAAUGCAAGUAUAUAUCUAAGUAUGAUUUUCAAAUCCAAGACUAAAGAAUUUAAUGCUAAAAGCCAUUAUGUGAUGGGUCAAAGUCCAUAUAUCAAGUUGAAAAAGAGAAGAUGGUCUUGGUCUUCACUUCAUCCAUAAGUCAGUGUUGUUCCAUUAUCUGUUGCACUUUUAUUACAGUAUUCUUAUCCAGGAUUAAAGAGAUAAUGAAUGAAAAGUUCUUUUGAAAUCUUACAGGGCUAUCCAAAGUUCAGUUCUUCUUAUUGAUAUUAUUGUUGAUGCUAUUGCUGUUUGUUCAGUAUUCAUUUUCAUUGUUCCAAAUGCUUUACAGAACAAAGAUAGGAUAUAGAGUGUCUGUUCUUAGUAAUAUUACCUUUUUGGCA
rnacentral:lncRNA from 1 species